AGAACUUAAACCACAGAAGAGCCAUAAGCACUGUACAUUACAAAGCAGUGCUACUGAGACAUCUCCAGCCAUGUGUCCCUGCCAAGGAAGGACAAGGGUGUUUUGGUCCCAGGGGAGCUGCCUUGUUCACGCAAAGAGGAAGGAGUCCAAGGUACCAUGUAACAAGGUGGCAGUUUCCCACUGGGGGAGGUUGGUGAAUUCAGCCCGUGCAGCUCUUGUCAGCAACCACUGGUGCAGCUAUUUCAGCAUAAUGGUCCUUCUUCAUGGGCACAGCAAAGCGAGCUCUGAGGAGAUUUAUGGAGGAUCACAUCACAGAGCACUGCACAGCUGAAGAUGACAGAGGCAAAUGUCAGUGUGAUGGACCACAGCCUGACUCCACAGCACCGAACAGAAUGCUCUCCUGCAGAGGCAGCUCUGUCUCUGCCCUGCCUCCCACCUAACCUGGCACUUCCCAGCCCACUGCAAAGCUCCAGUCCUCUCCCACAGCAGCCACGGUCCCCACCUUGAGCAAACCCCAUAUUCAGCUCUCAUCCCGACUCAGAAGGAGCACAUCUGUAGUCUAACUGCCGGUCAUUCAGCAAACGACCUCAUUUAGAAACUAGCCCCCUCAGCCCAAUUAUCCCUCUUCUCCAGCCACAUGUCCUUAUGUAGCAGCAUUGCUCAUUUAUAUGCUAAUUUUGUUAAGUCUACUUCAAAGGGGAGAAUUGUUUGUUAAAAAUCUUACACUCCAGCCUGAGUUCAGACCAUCUCAUUAUUUACCUGCAAAUUUAGGGAGAUAUGGGUAAAAGCUCUGUUCUUUUAUGAUCUAUUGUCUAGGUGAUCAAAGGAAACCAUUCAAUAUGAAGAUCAAAAAGAGUCUGGCUCCCAGCAGCCCAGUAGCUGGCUCUGCCAACUCCCAAAGUCCACAACCUCAGUUAUAAGUAAAGACUGAUUCUACUAUUAAAUAACUUUUGAUUACAAAUUGGAGGGAAUAAAAAAAAAAAAACCAAAAAAACCAAAAAACAAAAAAACCAACCUCACAUAAUAGUCUCUUUACUAAGGUGUUAAUGAAACUAGGCUUCAUAUUGAUAUUAUCUCAAUUAUUAGUCCAGGAAUAAUCACUAUGUAUAUAGUGUCUCUAUUAAUAAUCCUCAGAUAAUGAAAAAUAUCCCACAGACAUAACUAAUACUGCUUGAUAAAUUGCUGGUGGACCACAGCUAACCCAGAUUUUCUUUUUUAUAUAGAUAUACUGCUCAAAGGAUUUUUUUAAAACAGGAACUCAGCGACAGAAGUGUUUAUUAUUUGGAGGAGACAAAAGCAGUGGCUGUAGAUUGAAGUAUCAAAAUGGGACACCUCAUGUCCCAGUCUGUUAGGGAAUUAUGUCAAAAGAGUAACACAAUGUGAAUAAUGAACCCGUGCUUUUCAGGGCUGACAUAAUUCCUUAGCCUAAGGAAUUUCAAGAACCAUGAUUUGUAGAAAUCCCAGUCUUCUUGAAAAGAUAAGCCACAGAGAGAAUUUCUCAUCUUCGCCACAAAUAAACAUUAAAUAGUGUACAGCUUGCUUUAGAAAAAAUAAUGUGAGAAGUGAAACUGGAUGGACUUUCAGACUUUAAUCUUCCCUUUAAAGUCGACACACUGUUGUUAUUCACUAUAGUGUUUUCCUUUUCCAUGCUACAAAUGGCAACAAACAAGAGCCUGAGCACUGAUAUACAUCUGGGGCUUGCGCAAGGAGGGCUGAAGGAUGUUUUGACUGCUGAGAUAACAAAAUAUGGGGGUUUUGGGUUUUUUUACUUGAUGCACUUCUGAAAAUACACUGAAUACUCUUAAAAACAUUAAGCCUCCAGUGCUGGUACGAGAGAUGUUUUGCUGGCUGUGCUUUACUUUGGCUUGUUUGUGUGAAUCAGUGUUGCAGCCUUCCUGUCAGUCAGCAGUAAAUGAAUACCUUAACAGGUCUUGGACGACUUCUAGAGCUGCUCUCAUUUGGAGCAGAUCUAAAGCUGAUGUUUUGAACAGUUGUUAGUAUUAAAGAUCCGAUGGCAUUUUACAGGAGGGUUGGGGUGUAAGUUUUGGUGUCCUGGCCAAAUUCCAAAAUGGGUAAUUAAAUUCUGUCCAUCUGAACUUCCCCCUGUGGUUUUAGUUGGCUCAGGUAUUCUUAAUUUCCUGUCUUUAAAUGUUCCACAGUGUUGCAGCGGUGCUGUUAAACAGUUGCCAGGUUUCACCUCGGCGAUGUGUGAGAUGAUUCAUGCCUUACAGAUCUGCAGAUAGCAGCACGUUCAGGGCAGCCUGUGGGAGCUGGAGAAACGGCAGAGUUGGAAUGACAAGAUGUCAUAGCGGCUGCUCCUUCCAUUCAUUUUCUAAUUUUGUGAUGCUUCAGAAAGAUACAAUAAAAUCUCUCUGGUUUUUAAUGAAAUAAGCUCCUCUCUCCCCUCGACCCUUCCAUUCCUUGCAUCCCCAGGAGAGAAGAGAGAAGCUGAGGAGAUGUGUACAGGGUUAAAUGCAAACCCAGAUCCCUGACUAUGCCAGGAUGUGAAGAGAACUGAUGUCUACAUUUGACCUGCUCAGAGGAACACUUUUAACCUCACAUACUCUGACUCUUUGAGAAAUUUCAAUUCCACAUCAAAGCUUUAUGCCCUUAUGGUAGUUUUUCUUCUUAAAAUGUGGCAACACAGCACCAAAAGAGUGCUGAAGGAAAGAUGAGCCCAAGUUAAUGUGUCUUUUAAGUUGC